AGGGAAAUAAUAGUUUACCAAAGAGUAUACAAAGUAAAUACAAUAAAGUAAAAUGGAAUAAAAUAGGGGAAUGCAGAGAGAGAGUGUCGUAGAAAUUUGUCGCACGCGCGCGAUUUCAGUAAGUGCAUCUAAUUUAUUUUGCAUCCAUUGCAAUUGAGAGUCGGCAUCCGGCAGAUACGUUUUCGUAAUUGUCAUCAGCGGUUCGAGUUCCUCCGCUUCGACCUCUCGCGCGAGUGUUUGCCAGAUUGGAUUACCAUAACCCAGGCCAUACCAAAAUAAAUUAUACACCAUUUUUUGAAAGGGUGAUAAACAGGGUGAUAUUGUGACCGAAUUCUGAUCAGAGCUGCGAUCGAGGAUCGCUUGCCAAAAGCAACGUAAUGUCGUCCUACCGCAGUUAUACACCCUGGAAAACGAGCUUGGGCAGUUCCUACAAGCCUGGCAGCUCUUCGUAUGGCACCUCCGGAGACUCCACAUCGCGCUACACUUCACUGGCCACCCCGAGCUCCUACAGACCAUCGUUCUCUGGAGGAACGUACCGCCUCAAAAGAGACCCACCACCAUCAGCCACCACAACUCCAGUCAGCGGCUAUGUGAGUCGUUAUGCAAAGACAGAGCCCAAAGAGGCAGCUCCAAGUGAGCGGAGUAGCCCGGUUAAGAGGUAUACGGGUAAUACUACCAGUUCCCUCGGCAAAUAUGGACGGUCUCGAGAUCCCAGUCCAGUGGCCUUGGAGCACACUAGUCGCACAAAGUCGCGGGAUCCGAGUCCAGUUAUUGACAGUGCCAGAAGUAAAUUGGGAAGCACAUACCGUGGAGGUAACACACCCACCACGUCCAGUUCAUCCUCCUCGGCCACCAGGAAUGCGUACAGCAGUCGCUAUGGAGCAGGUUCUCGGAUCUCGGGAAAUGGAAGUGCCCUAUCUUACUUGACUACCAGUGAUUUCCAUGCCAGAACUGCCAGCAGGGCCAAGGCCAGCAGGGAAAGGGAGCGGGAGAAGGAGAAGGAAAAGGAGCUGGAGGUAGAGGAGAAACCUAGUGAGGCAUCUAAUGGCAUGGAUAAGACUCCUGCAAAGCAGCAGGAAGAACAACCAGAAAAUGUUGAAGAAUCAAAUGAAACUUUCAUCACCAUAUCCGUAGUGACUAGAGCCACUUCACCCACUCUGCCGGGCAGCACCACCGUACAACGCACUCGUCGCAUUGAUCCAGCCAAAACAAUAGAGAAGACCAUCCAAAGAUCCACCAAAAGGCGUGAGACAACUGACCAGGAGAUUCAGUCGGACAGAUUGGAUGACUCUACCCGAUAUCUUCGAUACAGUGGCGGCAGCAGCAUAAGCUCUACUUAUAGUCCACACAGAGAUAGGAUCAGCAGUCUGCGGUACAGUGCCAGUCCCUUGAGCAGUUCAGGAUCGGCAAAGUCCAGUGCGGCGGGUGAGGGAAAGCAGAUUCAGCCCAUCCCAGAGACUGUUUCCCCAGCUAGGACCAAUGGCUCUGUGAGCUCAGCCAAGUCCUCAGAAGCGCUAUCCCCUCCGAGAACCAAUGGCACUGUGAGCUCAGGGAAAUCAUCUGAAGCUCUAUCGCCACCCAGAAGUAAUGGGUGCAUAAGCUCAUCCAAGUCAAUAGAAGCUGUAUCCACACCCAAAACAAAUGGCUCUCUGAGCUCUUCGAAGUCCGCCAAGUCCAAACUUUCACCACCGAAGGCAGUACGCUUGAACUCGCGACAAUCAUCAGUGGAGAAUCUAGUAAACAAACCACCUGCCCCUCCCAGCAAGGCGGACUCACCCACCAAGACUUGCAGCUCCAGUUCGGGCAGUUCGGCGGUUAAAUGGCCCAACAAGGACUUCCGCAAAUCCUCGCUAAAUGUGGGACCCACGGAUCGUCCGCGAAAGUCUCGAACUCCUAGCAGUGGCGGAGAGUCCGAGGAUCUACCCAAUGGCAGUAGCCUUGAAAGGUCACCAAGUGCCGGGUCCGAGGGAAGUCUAGCAUCGGGCAGUUCCUCGAAGAAAUCGAGCAAGCUGAGCAAUGGCAAGGUGCCAGGCAGUCCGCGGGUAAAGAGUCACAAAUCCUGCAGCGAAACCACCACUGGCAACUCAUCCUCGGCCACCGCCUCCGCAUCGGACAGUGAGCAGCAGGUCAAGAGCGUAAAAAAGCAGGCCAAAAAGAAGAGCACCAACAAAGAGGGCGGUGCUGGCAAGGUCGCCAACGCCCACAAGGCAAAUAGCACCACUGAAUCACCGCCAGCCGUGGCUGAGGUGGUGCCAGCGACACAGACAAGACUGAAGAAGCUAUCGGCGGUGUCGAAUUUUUUCGCCAGCCGUCAGCAAGACGCAAAUAACGAACCGAUCUUCCUCGAAAGCUCUGAGAGUUCGGGCGAACCGGAGGCCCAUUCGUUGCCAGUGAUCUCGGCCAUAUCGGGCACCUCAAAGAUCUCGAAAAUCUCUGGGAUCAGUCUGACCACAGAUUUGCGAACGAACGAACCGCGAACGACGCCGUCGAGCGAAGCGAAACCCUUAACCCCAACGAAUUCCCCAAGUUCGAGCACACGUUGCCCGCGGGAAACCACAACGGAAACGGGCACAAGAUUACCCAGCAGCACCACCAGCACCACCCAGGAGACGAGUCUUACGACCACUGCCAGUUUGACCACCUCCGAGCAGGACGAUCCCAGCUGGUGGCAGGAUACUAGCUUGCAGAUAAACACGGCUUCUGCUUUGGAUCAAAAUAAUAGAGGAGAGAUGCCCUCUUACAGGCUGAGACACAUUGACUCUGGAGAGGAGCAGGCCUGGUGGCUCCGCCAGGAUGAAAAUGGCGAUGAUGAUGACACACUGGCAGAGGAGACCCUCAAUACUCUGGAUGAUGAUCUGCAAGAGCCGAGCAAAGGCACCUGGUGGAGUCAUGACGAUCAGGACUCUAGCAGUCAGGUGAAGCUGAUGCCCAGGAGUAGGAUAACGCCGGAAAAGGAUGCCUGGUGGCUGCAGGACGAGGACGAAGCUCAGGAUUCUCCCACAGAAAAUGGUGAUCUGAAUAACAACAACAACACUGAGCCCCAUGUGGAGGUGACACUAAGAUUGCCAUCGAAUGGCAGCCAGAGAAGCAGCAAAAGUAGUGGUUCCAAGAAUGGAAGCAAUCCGAAGAAUGGUGGCUCCAAUCCUUGGUGGCUAUCCGGACCAGCCAGAAAGAUGUUCAAUGUGCAGCGCGUUGAGUCGGGCGAAAGAGCCUGGUGGCAGGAGGAAGCCGAGGAGCCACCGCAAUUGGAAAAAGAGAACGAACCACCACCGGUGAAGCCACCCACUCCGCCACCGCGCAUCAUCAAGCACUGGGAGUCCGGGGAGCGGGCCUGGUGGUUACAGGAGGAUACGGAAACCACCCAUCUCCCUGCUCAGGCCAGCAGCAAUGAUGAGGAGCAGCCAGUAAUGGUGGUGAUUAAUCAGCAGGAGUCUAGGGAUGAAGUGGAUCUGAGGCUGGCACCACCCACCUUCGAAUCCCAGGAGCUGAGCAACUCCUUCGAUUUCAACGCCUAUUCCGAGCGACCUCCUCCACUGGGCCAAUGUGCCAGUCCCAUCCGCUGUCCCUCGCCCUACGACAACAUUCCAAGAUCGCAGCUGCAGGAGCCACCACCACUCCCUCCCACUCGCACAUCCCUGCAACCGCGCUUUUCACCCCAAACACGACGAGCCGGCGAAAAGCUCUUCAUUUCGCGGCAUCAGAACAUCGAUGAGCUGCUGGGCGGUGCUUGUCGCCCCCUCAGUCCGCUCUUCUAUGGGAACACCAAUCCUGCGGAGGCCGAGCUGACUCCUCUGGCCGGCAAGAACAUGUUUCUGCUCGAGGAGGUGACACCUGACCAGGUGCGAAUCCACGACAGCACCGCCCAGCUGCCGGUCAUCCAGAGAAUGCAGCGCGACGUCGAGUGGUUGGAGAACGGCAGCAACUUUUACGAGCCACCCAAACAACAACAACACCAGCCGCCGCGCAGGAUCGACGAUGCAGCCAUUCAGGUGUACAAGGAUGGCGACUACGGAGCCUACUUGGAUCUGGAGUCAUCGCUGGCCGAGCAGACUGAGGAAAUCGAGGGAGUCAACGUCAGCCGCAAGAACUCGCUGGUGGUGCGAACGCAGUUAAAUGUGCGCGUGCAUGCCAUAAUUGAGAAACUGCUCUCCGCACAGGGCAGUGACCUGCGGCGUGCUCUCUUCUCGCUGAAGCAGGUGUUCCAGGAGGAUAAGGAUCUGGUGCACGCCUUCGUGGCCCUCGGCGGCCUCAAUUGCUUGGUGCGCGUGGGCAAUUGUGCGGAUCAAAACUAUCAGAAUUACAUUCUGCGAGCCCUCGGCCAGGUCAUGCUCUAUGUGGAUGGAAUGAACGGCGUGAUGAAGCAUGAGCCGACGAUGCAGUGGCUCUACUCGCUGAUUGCCUCCAAUUACCGAUCCGUGGUGAAGACCGCCCUCAAGUUGUUGCUGGUCUUCGUGGAGUACGCCGAGUCCAACUGCUAUGUGCUGGUCAGUGCCAUUCACGCGGUGGACGCUUCCCAGGGCACACUGCCGUGGUCAAACAUAAUGAGACUGCUUAAGGACUAUGACAAUGCUGAUGCCGAGCUGGUCAUCUAUGCCACGUCGCUGAUAAACAAAACCCUGGCGGGUCUGAAUGAUCAGGACAGCUUCUACGACGAAAGCGAUCUCCUAGAGCAGCAGGGCAUGGAGACUGUGAUCCAGCGUUAUAUGUCCAAGCCGGGCACUGAUUUGGAUCUGCUCGAUCAGUUGCAACUGUACGAGGCUGUGCUGAAAUUUGAGGAUGGCGAGUCGGAUGGACAGCGUUUGCCGCAGAACUCAAUGCGAAAAACUCAACGCUAUCGUCCGGGAACAAAUACCACUGAACGGCGCAAGUCGCGUCGCCACAGCACAGAUAAUAGUCCCGCACCACUCACAAAGGUCCUGCCCACCACUGUGCUCCGCAUGACACCCACACCAGCCACCGUGGAUGAGGAUAGUUCCGGCUCCACCAAUUCUACAGAAUUUAGCGGAGGUCUCUUCACUGAGAAGAAACCUCGCGAUGGUGCGGGCGUGACUCCAGGACUGCGAAGAAGACGGGAGCGGGCGGAGCGGCACAAGAGCUUCCUGAAGGAGCAGCAGGAGGCGGCGGCCAAUGGAAUCUUUGCUGCUCUCGAGCAGCGUGAGGGACUGGGCCAAAUUGUAACCGCCAUACCCGCCACCAUUCAAACCGGCGACAGUCCGCCUCAGUCCUUGCAACAUGAGGUGCCACCGUGCAACAACAUCAGCGGCAUCACCAACAUUAGCAACAACAAUGUUAGCAACCUUAGCUGCAAUGACACGCCGAACAACAGCCUUCUGGUGAUGAGUCCUAGCAAGCAAUUGCUCACUGGAAGCCACAGCAUCUCGAUCAUAAACAACAGCUUCGAUAAGGCGAGCAAUAACAAUCAGAGCGAGUUCCUCACCAAGAAGAACCUAUUCCGGGAACGCAAUUCAACUGUGAUCAAUGGUAUUAUGAAGAAUAUCCAGCAAACCGAUAGUGCCUAUAAGAAGUACGAGAACGAAGCGAACCGGCUGAACAACUACUACAGCCAGUCGCCGAAACAUCAGAGCCAUCAGCCGAUUCAGCCAACGCCGGAGGUCCUUUUGAGUCCCAAGAAAACGCUGAAUGCUUCUGGCUUUGACUUCACGCCCGCUCCCCUCAGCUCCACACCGGUUAAGUGUGAUGUUCUGCCGGAACCGGAGCCACUGAGUCCGGUGAAGAAACCCGUUGCGGCCCCACCACCGCCUCCUCCACCGCCACCGCCGCCACCACCGCCCCCUGGCUGGUGGCACGCCCCCAUCUACAACAGCCCGCCAGCUCGUACCCUAACCAGUACUAACCCAGAGCUGCUGCCGCAUCCCGUGGAUCCUACAGAUAUGGAGAGCGAGGACAAGCAGCUGCUGCUCCAACUGAAGCGGGACCACACGGUCAAGGAUCUCACCCAGAAGCUGAGCAACCUGCCCAUGAGUCCCACGCAGGAGUCCGCGAAUCGCGCCCUCGUCGGCGACAUGUCCGGUUUGAUUUCGAAAGCCAAAGAGGGUCUGGCCAAGAGCAAGAGCAAGGGCGAGAUAUCCAGAUCUUCCAGUGUCGAUCAGGAUAUAAAGAAGUCUGAGCCCAAGAAGUCGGAGAACGAACUGCACUGGGAGGAGUUGGUUAGGAAUAUGACAAGGCCCCUGAAUCUUUGCGAUCUGGACUUUACGGACCUCAGGGAUGACGACGAGAAGGAUGUGCUGGCCCCUCGAAGUUUGGGUGCAGGUAUACCACCGCCGCCACCCCCACUGGGUGGAGCCAUUGCCCCACCGCCCAUGAUGCCACCCAGCCUGGCACCUCCACCCAUGUACGGCUAUGGCGGCAGUCUUACCAACAGUGUCAACUCGCUGAAUGGAUCUAUAAAUGGCGAACUGGUCAAUGGCAAUAACACCAUCAAAAAGAACAAGAAAACGGUCAAGCUCUUCUGGAAGGAAGUGCGCGAGGACAUGAUACCGCAGGUGGUGGGCAAGACCAUUUGGGAUGAGCUGCCCGAUGCCAACGUGGACACCCAGAAGCUCGAACAUCUCUUUGAGUCGCGGGCCAAAGACUUGAUGACCAAGAAACAACAAGAGCUGAACAAGAGCAAAGAGAUCAUCGUGCUUGAUCACAAGCGCUCCAAUGCCAUCAACAUUGCGAUCACCAAGCUGCCACCUCCGCGGGCCAUUAAGACGGCCAUCCUCAAGAUGGACGCCACUGUGGUCACUCGCGAGGGAAUCGAUAAGCUACUCAAUAUGCUGCCCACCGACGAGGAGCGUGGCAAGAUCCAGGAGGCGCAGCUAUCCAAUCCAGAGCUGCCACUGGGCAGUGCCGAGCAGUUCCUGUUGACCCUGGCCUCCAUUUCGGAGCUGGAAGCGCGCCUGAAGUUGUGGGCCUUCCGUCUGGACUUUGACAACAGUGAGAAAGAGAUUGCGGAACCCCUGAUGGACCUCAAGCAAGGCAUUGAGAUCCUGCGUCAGAAUCGCACCUUCCGCAGCAUCCUCUCCACACUGCUAUCCGUGGGCAUCUUUCUGAAUGGAGCUCCCGUCAAGGGAUUCCAGAUCGAGUAUCUGGCAAAGGUGCCGGAAGUGAAGGACACGGUGCACAAGCACUCGCUGCUGCACCAUCUCUGCCACAUGGUCAUGGAGUCGAGCAGUGAUACCAGUGAUCUGUACUCCGAGAUUGGCCCCAUUACCCGAGCCUCCAAGGCGGACUUCACCGACUUGGCACACAAUCUCAAUCAGUUGGAGGCGGAGUGCAAGGCAUGCUGGGAUCGUCUGAAACUAAUUGCCAAACACGAUUGCCCGCCGCCGUUGAAGCAGAAGCUGGUGGACUUCCUGGCCGAUUGUGCCGAGCGCAUCAUCAUCCUGCAAAUCGUCCAUCGACGAGUGAUGAAUCGCUACCGGAAGUUCCUUUUGUGGCUGGGAAUGCCGCAGCACAGUGUCGCGGAAUCGCGUCCCAACGAAUUCUGCCGGACACUCUCCGAGUUCGCCCUGGAGUAUCGGACUACCCGGGAGCGGGUGCAGCAGCAGCUGGAGAAGAAGGCCAAUCACCGGGAGCGGAACAAGACGCGUGGAAAGCUGAUCAUCGAUAUGGCCAAGUUCAAGACCAAAGAUGACGUGGCCGAUGAUGAGUUGAAGAAACUUCUGGACACCUCGAGUGCCGACCAAGCCGAUGGCACACUCACCUGGCGGAGACGGCGAGCGGAACAGCUCCGCUCUCCAAUUACCCGCCAAAGCGAGGAACAGUUCACUGAUGGCGAUGAUGAGAUUUUGGAAUCCCUGGUGAAGACCGCCACGAAGGCUCCAGGAACCCGGACAACGCCGAGGGAACGGAAACGGACGCGCCACGCGGAUCGCAAAUCAUUGAAGCGCAGCCGCACGCGCGAAGGAUUCACAGUUGAAAGAGCACCAUCGCCGUAGAAACCGUACUGUUAACCGAAUCCGUAUCCGAAUCUGAAACCGAAACCGAAACCGUUGCCAAAAGAACAGCCAACUGUUUUUUAGGUUUUACCUUUUUUGUACGUCGCACGCUGAAAAACGGUCUGACCGAGGAGGAGAAACAGCACGUGGCUGCCUUAAUACAAACCUAUUAGGAUUAGGACAUACAAGUA
rnacentral:misc_RNA from 1 species